rnacentral:rRNA from 1 species
AAUUGCGACCCCAGGUCAGGCGGGAUUACCCGCUGAGUU